ACGUAGGGGACAAGCGUUAUCCGGAUUUACUGGGCGUAAAGCGCCCGUAGGCGGCCUGACAAGUUGGACGUGAAAGCUCCUGGCUUAACUGGGAGAGGCCGUUCAAAACUGUCAAGCUAGAGUCUGGAAGAGGAGAGCGGAAUUCCCGGUGUAGUGGUGGAAUGCGUAGAGAUCGGGAGGAACACCAGUGGCGAAAGCGGCUCUCUGGUCCAAAACUGACGCUGAGGGGCGAAAGCGUGGGGAGCGAACAGG
rnacentral:rRNA from 1 species